rnacentral:rRNA from 1 species
UGGGGAAUCUUGCGCAAUGGGCGAAAGCCUGACGCAGCCAUGCCGCGUGAAUGAUGAAGGUCUUAGGAUUGUAAAAUUCUUUCACCGGGGACGAUAAUGACGGUACCCGGAGAAGAAGCCCCGGCUAACUUCGUGCCAGCAGCCGCGGUAAUACGAAGGGGGCUAGCGUUGCUCGGAAUUACUGGGCGUAAAGGGCGCGUAGGCGGACAGUUUAGUCAGAGGUGAAAGCCCAGGGCUCAACCUUGGAAUUGCCUUUGAUACUGGCUGUCUUGAGUACGGGAGAGGUGUGUGGAACUCCGAGUGUAGAGGUGAAAUUCGUAGAUAUUCGGAAGAACACCAGUGGCGAAGGCGACACACUGGCCCGUUACUGACGCUGAGGCGCGAAAGCGUGGGGAGCAAACAGGAUUAGAUACCCUGGUAGUCCACGCCGUAAACGAUGAGUGCUAGUUGUCGGCAUGCAUGCAUGUCGGUGACGCAGCUAACGCAUUAAGCACUCCGCCUGGGGAGUACGGUCGCAAGAUUAAAACUCAAAGGAAUUGACGGGGUCAUAGCUGUUUCCU